rnacentral:rRNA from 1 species
CCCUUAGAUGUCCGGGGCCGCACGCGCGCUACACUGAAGGAAUCAGCGUGGCUUUCUCCCUGACCCGAAAGGGUUGGGAAACCCGUUGAAUCUCCUUCGUGAUAGGGAUUGGGGCUUGAAAUUGUUCCCCAUGAACGAGGAAUUCCCAGUAAGCGCGAGUCAUAAGCUCGCGUUGAUUACGUCCCUGCCCUUUGUACACACCGCCCGUCGCUUCUACCGAUGAAUGAUCCGGUGAACACUCUGGACUUGUUGUCUGUCGGAGCAAUCCAAAGACGAUAGGGAAGUUGUGUAAACCUUAUCAUUUAGAGGAAGAAGAAGUCGUAACA